rnacentral:rRNA from 1 species
CAGCCGCCACGGUAAUGCGAAGGGGGCUAGCGUUGUUCGGAUUUACUGGGCGUAAAGGGCGCGUAGGCGGACUGAUAAGUCAGGGGUGAAAUCCCAAGGCUCAACCUUGGAACUGCCUUUGAUACUGUUUGUCUUGAGUUCGAGAGAGGUAAGUGGAACUGCGAGUGUAGAGGUGAAAUUCGUAGAUAUUCGCAAGAACACCAGUGGCGAAGGCGGCUUACUGGCUCGAAACUGACGCUGAGGCGCGAAAGCGUGGGGAGCAAACAGGAUUAGAUACCCGAGUAGUCCCUGUCUCUUAUAA